rnacentral:lncRNA from 1 species
GGUCUAGAAUCUGGCCGCCUCCAGCCGCCCCCACCCCUUGCCCGGCGCACCGUGUUCCACCGCCCGUGAGUGUGACUGGGAUGAUUCUCUGUGAAGCCCGGAUCCGGUCCCCUUCCCCCCGCCCCACACGGAGUAACAAGGGAGAGGUGGGCAGAGCUGAGCCCAGUGCCCAGAAACGUGGAGUUGGCCAGGGGUGCCAUGCUUCUGGAGGUGGGGAGGGCCCGAAGUAACAGUCUUCCCCCGUCACUCGACAAGUGUGGCCCGCUGGGAGGGAAUCUUGCCCAAGCACUCCUGUUCUCCAGGACCACCUAUGGUUGCAGCCCUCAGUGCCUGCUGCCUGCCUCUUCCCUGGAGGUCAAGGGUCCCGGCAGGGUUGGGAGAAGCCAGGAGGCUGGUGGCCCUCGGGAGAUCUGUGGCUUCCCGUUGAGCAGUCGUCACCCUUCCCUGCCUGAAGCUGAAGGAGGGGGCUGUCCACAGUCCAGGCUGGAUCAGGUGUCAGGUGUGGUCAGCCUUCUCUCGCUGGUGGGAAGCCACUGCCUUUCCUGCCACACGUUCCUCACCAAGAGGAUCUCCCAGCUCCUGGGUGAUGCUGUCCAGACCUCCUCAACACCCAGCGCCACCACCCACUUCUUUGGCCAGUCUUUGCCGAGGCUGGUCAGUCUUUGCCGAGGCUGGUCUGUCUUUGGCUCCAGGAUGGCCCGCCAUCCAGUUGGAGCCACAGAUGAAAAGCAAUGCCAGUGUCCAGCUGCCCCAUGUGCCCAGAACCAGCAGCUCUGGAACCUCAGCCCCCGAGUACAUUCUUGCAGUGGGAUCAUUUCGGGGGUGGGGCGGGGGGGUGGUGCUUUGAUUGGCAUUUACCAAGGCCCUCUCUUGCACCCUUUUCCUUUGAGUUGUUAGUCUUUUCUUAUUGACUGGUUCAUGUUCUCUAUACAUUAAUGAUAUGAGCCCUGAGUCACAUCUUGGUAAUAUUUUUUGCCCCACUUUGUCACUUGUCUCUUGACUUGGUGGUUUGGGGUUUGUGUUUGACUAGGCAGACGAUCUUAGCGUUUGUGUCAUCAGACUUUCCAGGCUCUUCCUAAUGGUUUCUGGUCGGUUUAUUUUCUUCCAAUUGACUUAGGGUGAUCUUGUCCAUUUAAAGUCAUCGUGUAUAAAUUACCCAUUGCUGAAUAACAAGGGGCUACCCAGGUGAGGCUAGCAGUAAAAACCUGCCUGUCAACAUAGGAGACAUAAGAGACAUGGGUUGGGAAGAUGCCCUGGAGAAGCCAAUGGCAACACACACUAGUACUCUUGCCUGNNNNNNNNNUGGACAGAGGAGCCUGGAGGGCUACAGUCCAUGGGGUUGCAAAUAGUUGCCCCUCGCUUCACCUAGGUCCGGCCCACCCUCCUGGGGGAGCAGGCACCAGGUAUAGUGGGUUGCAGAGGUGCCCCGGGGUGGCGGGGCGGGCCGGGUGUGGUGUGAGGGUGGUCAGUUCCCCCGUCCCCCUGACUCAGAGCAGACAGGACCUGCAGGAUGAGGGGGCCACUCCCCACAGGGUGACCAGACACCCCCUCCCCAGGCUUAGUAGGAAAUAAGGGCCCCGGCGGGCACCUGUGGCUGGACCCCUCCUCUGCUCCGGGGGGGCCAGGUCUCAUGCCGCUUGCCCCCAGCAGAUGGGCUCCUGGUGCCAUCUGCGUGUCCCCCUCUCCAGAAGCCCUCCAGAGGUGGCGCCCUGUCUCGCUCCCUCCCGCCCGACUGGUCGAGGCUCUGGCCCGUGGCCUCUCUUCAGGGCUGUCCUCAGGGUCGUUCCCCCUAUAGGUUCCAGCUUCUCCCCUUGCUGCCCUGCGGGCCUCAUGACCGCCUGGGUGCGAUGUGUUAUCCAGGGAGGGGACAGGACUCCUGGUUACACUCUCCUCUGAGGCCAUUCUCCC